ensembl:lncRNA
UGUAGGAGCCAUGUGAGACCUUUUUGAGUAUUCAGUUUGAUAUUUUAGUUUGUGUGACAAAAUUAUUAUUAGUGAACUUAUUUGUAUUGAAUUGUCCCAAAUUAGGAAAUUGUAAUUUGUUUCUGAGUGUGUGCCCCCUAUAGGUAAGGCACUAAUUGUCUAUAGCAUAAAGGUGUGCCAGGCCAAGGAGAGUGGAGAGUUCCGGCCUGCGAAUACCAUUAUUGACCGUGAGCAGAACGUGCCUACAGGACUUGAACCUGUCAUGAACCUGACGGGACCGUGGCGAGGAAACGCAACUGAGCUGAACCAACAAACAAAGAAACAAAGACAAAACUUCAAUGCUUUAAUUUACAUCUGUUAGAAAUAAACAAAGUCAAGUUCAUUAUAGCCACGUCUCAUGGACUCUACUUUCACGCGUUCAACAAGGCAAACACCGGAACUCACAAGAAGUGGUAAAACAAUUGACAAGUUUUAGCCAUUACAAUAGUCAAUAAUGACGCAACUUUGGACCUUUUGAUGGAUCAUUACUGGAUACAAUUGGAUUACCCUUGGAACAAGGCAACCCUUGGAUUACUACGAACCUUUCACUGAGAAGCAGCAGCGCGCCAUGCGCAACAAACAAACCAAUCAAUUAACUUGAUCGGAGGUAUGUUCGCUUCCCAUUUGAAUGCAAUGUACUAUGAAUGGACUAUACUUUUGAAACCUUGUUUGUGCACAUUUUGAACCCAAGAAACACAAGUAUUUUUGGUUAGAAACCCGAUGUGUAUAGUUUGACUUAACGUCGGGGAAUUGAAGCCAUAUCGUGCAUGGACAAACGCAAUUUACGCAUACAGAGCACGAUAGAAAGGCUUUUUGUUGAAUUUCUGGGUUUGAUGAAGUUGAAGAACGGUUUUUGUGAGAACGAAUGAAAAUUGUAUUGAUAUAAGAUGACGGAUCCCGUGAAGGAGGCCAGUUUGGGCCUACCUGAAGAAAACCUCAAUGAAGCAGCCAGAUUGCGCUCAUCGAGGUCGGGCAAAUUGUCUCAUUUGACGAGACGAAUGAACAUUGUAAAUACUUUGAUGAAUGACGAAACAAGUUUUAAUGAAGUGAAAAGUAAUAUGGUUAUGUUUAAUAACAUGUUAGAGGAAUACAAAUCUCUUCAUGAUUCAUACCAAGAAAUGUUAGAAGAGGAAGAUCGAAAUGAGGAUACUAAGUCCUGGUAUGCACCGAGGCUUGAGCCGAUAACCACCUUUUUAGCCAACGUCACGAGGUGGAUAGAUUCAAUUGAAAAUCGUUUGCAUGAAGUUACCGUUUCCUAUACUGGAUUGGAAAAUAGUCCUGAUAUCAGUGUCAGGCCUACGGAGGAAGAUAGGCUGUCCUUGAGAAGCACUAGCUCUGUUUCAUCCACGACAUCUGUGCGCAUCUGUGCAGAGGCAGACAGAGAAGCACUACUGUUAAGGCUGCAGCUUUACAGAAAAAGCAUGCGUUAGAGGAUGAGCAAGAUGAACUGAGAAAGGAGGAAGAUGAGCUGAGAAAGAGAAAGGAGCUCAGCAGAAAGAGAAUGGAGGCUCAUGACUUACAAGCUGAAUUGUCUGCAACUACAGCCAAAAUUAACUAUCUCAGAAAUGCUGAAGCACAAGCUGUUGAUACAACAUUCAAUGCAUUUAACCAUACAGAAUUUAAUGCAAUGAAUUCGUAUUAUGAGGAGAAUAUUGAAAGGAUUUCUGAGCCGAUUGCUGAACAGACUGUAAGAAAUACAAGGCCUAAAGAUGGGGUUCAUGUGCAAUUCCCUGUUUUGACCACAACAGCUAGAACACCUAGAAUACCUAGAAUACCUAAAAUGCCAUCUCUUUCACCCUCUUUCAGUACUGCUAGACCAGUGCAUGACCAGAGCCACGCUCUCCAGAAUAUGUCUUUAGAGAGCUUUUCAGUUCCACAGGGAGGACAGGUACCUGACAAUCUUACCAAAAUUCUGGAAAAGCAAAAUCAGUUGACAAGUCUCCUAGUGAAACAACAAUUGUUACAUACUUUGCCAAAAGGAGAUCUUGCAGUUUUUGAUGGUAAUAUUUUACAGUACAAUUCCUUUAUUCAUUCCUUUGAACACAUCAUUGAAAGUAGAACAGACAACAACCAAGACAGACUACAAUUUCUCAUCCAGUAUACAAAAGGACAAGCUCAGCAGCUUGUCAAAAGUUGUCAAUUCAUGGAUGCAAAUAGAGGCUAUAUAAAAGCAAGGCAAUUGCUUAAAGAGCAUUUUGAAAUGGCUACAGAAUCUCGUGUGCCUACAUUGAAAAGGCCCUUGCGUGGCCAGUGAUCAAAUUAGAGGAACCAAGAGCUUUGCAGGACUUUGCAUUGUUUUUGAGAAGUUGCUGCAAUGCCAUGGAACAACUUCAGUACAUGGAGGAGUUAGACACAAUUUCUAACAUGAGAAAAAUCAUUUUCAUAUUACCAUAUAAGUUAAGAGAAAGAUGGCGCUCAAAGGCUUGCGAAAUACAACAACGCGAUAUCAGAGUGAGAAUGGCUGACCUGGUAUCCUUCAUUGAAAAACAAGCUUCCAUUGUCUCAGAUCCAGUUUUUGGUGACAUUCAGGAGCCUAGCUCCAGCAGGGUCACAUCCAGACCCCCCAGUGAAGCCACAUCUUACAGGUAGUUUUGCUACACAAGUUGACGUGAAGCCGAUUCAGCGGACGUCAGAGGAAACCAUGACACGAGACCAACCAAGAGCAAACCAAAACAUGGUGCCAGAUAAAGCAUGUCUCUUCUGCAAUGAAUGGAGUCUGCUUUGGAUGUCUGGCAAAGGCUGGACACAUCAGCAAGGACUGUGGGAAACGUCUCCAGUGCACCAUCUGCAACAAGCAGCAUCCAAGUGCCUUGCAUAUCAAAGAGACCACACUGAAGAGCCUGCAGGUGUCUGUCAAAGCUGAUGAACAUACUGGGGCCGGUAAUGUACAGAAUUGCACUUUGUCCAUUGUACCUGUUCAAGUAAAAAGCACAAGAGGUAGUACGAUUAUUAACACCUAUGCCUUUCUAGAUCCUGGCAGCUCUGCUACUUUUUGCACAGAAAAUCUCCUGAACAAGCUGAACAUCAGAGGAAAAGGACUAACAUCCUCUUAAGGACAAUGAACCAAGAACAAUCUGUGAUUACCUACAUGGCAAAUGGAAUAGAGGUUAGUGCAUUGAACGAAAACAAUUUUAUUGCACUCCCUGAGGUGUACACACAAAAGAGUAUGCCUGUAGACACCGACAGCAUUCUAAAGACAGAAGAGCUAGCUAGGUGGCCUUACUUGAGUGAGAUCCAGAUCCCGAAAAUCAAGGCUGAAGUGGAGCUGUUGAUUGGCAACAAUGCUCCCAAAGCAAUUGAACCAUGGGAAAUAAUAAAUAGUCGUGAAAAUGGGCCAUAUGCUGUGAAGACCCUAUUGGGAUGGGUUGUUAAUGGUCCUCUAGAUGACAGUGUCGUGACAGACAGCAGUGGGCAUCAGAAAGUUACUGUCAACAGAACAUCAGUUGCAAAGCUGGAAGAUUUGAUUGUACAACAGUACAAUCAUCAGUUCAAUGAGAAAUUAGAUGACAAAGAAAUGUCAAUAGAGGAUAAAAGAUUGAUCAAAAUUGCAGAGCAGCGCCUAAUAGGCCUGAAAAGGAAGUUAAAAAGAAAUGAAACAUUCAGAAAUGAGUACACAGAGUUUAUGGAGGAUGUGAUCAGCAAUGGACAUGCUGAAGUGGUGCCACAAGUUGAACUUGAAAGAGAAGACGGCAAGUCUCUUGAAACAGAAAAUGAAGCCGUCGACCUGGUGAGAGACCUUACCUGUGUUUGCCACAAGGGAGGAUUCCAUCUAACCAAAUGGGUGAGUAACAGUCGCACUGUACUGUCUCAUAUCCCCAAAGAAGACCGAGCGACUGAAAUGAAAGAACUUCAUUUGGACAGGGACAAACUCCCUACAGAAAGAGCCCAUCCUGCUUUUCCCCCUGGACUAUUUCAGAAGUCAGACACGUACAUCAGAUGGCGCUGGAAACAAGUUCAGUUUCUUUCCGAUCUCUUUUGGAAGAGAUGGACCAAAGAAUACCUACCCCUGUUACAGGAAAGACAAAAAUGGACUACAGUCAGGAAAGGAUACCAAGUAGAUGACAUUGUGAUGGUAGUGGACAGUUCAGCCCCUCGUGGGUCUUGGAACCUUGGAAGAAUAAUAGAAGUCAAACCAGAUUCCAGAGGUUUGAUGAGGACAGUGAAAAUUAUUACGAAGACUGGCGUGUUUGAGAGGCCAAUAACCAAGCUCUGUCUGCUUCUGGAAGGAGCAGAAAAGAUGACCACAAAGUCAUCGGCCAGAGAUAAGUAGUACCUACUCAUGUUAUGAUUUAAGUUAAUGGUAACAAUAAACUACAAAGAAUUUAGGCUCCUUUAUGAUUUGAGUAUUGUAAUAGUUGCCCAUGCACACUAUUAGGGCCGGUGUGUAGGAGCCAUGUGAGACCUUUUGAGUAUUCAGUUUGAUAUUUUAGUUUGUGUGACAAAAUUAUUAUUAGUGAACUUAUUUGUAUUGAAUUGUCCCAAAUUAGGAAAUUGUAAUUUGUUUCUGAGUGUGUGCCCC